rnacentral:pre_miRNA from 1 species
GGUGACUGAUUUCCAUGCUAAACCUCGUCAAGUGAACAGUUUUCUUUCAGGUUAUAUCUUUAUCUCGUUGUCUGUUCGACCUUGAACUUCAACUUCAUUUUUAUUAUUUAUAUGCAUAAUUAUUCAUUCUGAAUCUGCACUGCACCCUUUCCCUGUCCACACACACUCACGAAAACUAACAUAUAGCAGCCGUUUCGAUAAAUCGAAAUCAAGUUUAAUCCUCUGCAUUUUAUAACAUUGAUUGAGUAAGUAGAGAUCUCAAGUUUAGGUCAUAAAUCGGAAAGUAAUUAUUUUGUGGUAAUGAACUAAUAAUAAGCUGAGAUCAAGGUCAAACAGGCAACAAAGUUGAGGUAUUAGUAAGAACUGUUUGCUUGACGGGGGCUUUGUAUGGACAUCAACCUCC